rnacentral:lncRNA from 1 species
CAAGCCAGCUUCAUUUAGUUUAUUGAAUGUUUUUAAGGAUUGGAGUAGUGGAGUUCCCGUUGUGGCAUAGUGGUUAACGAAUCUGACUAGGAACCACAAGGUUGUGGGUUCGAUUCCUGGCCUUGCUCCUGGGUUAAGGAUCCCGUGUUGCUGUGGCUCUGGCGUAGGCUGGUGACUACAGCUCUGAUUAGACCAUUAGCCUGGGAACCUCCAUAUGCUGCUGCGGGACUGGCCCUAGAAAAGGCAAAAAGAGUUUUAAAAAAAAAAAAAAAAAAAAAAAGGUAUUCUUGCUGGGUAGAAUAGUCCAGGCUGCAAAUUUUUCCCUUUUAGAACUUUGAAGAUGUCUUGCCAUUCUCUUGUGGUCUGUAAUGUUCUGUAGAGGAAUCAGCUGAUAGCCUUAUGGGGGUUCCCUUAUAAUUAAUGCUUUGUUUUUCUCUGGCUGCAUUUAGAAUCCUCUCUUUAACUUUUGCGUUUUUAUUAUAGCGUGUCUUGGUGUGAGCCUUUUUGGGUUCAAUUUGGGGCCCUCUGUGCUUCCUGUAUUUUGAUAGUUGUUUCCUUUAGAUUUGGAAAGUUUUCAGAUAUAAUUUCGUCAAAUAUAUUUUCAGUCCCCUUUUCUUUUUCUUCUCCUUCUGGAAUCCCUGUUAUGCAAAGAUUGGCCUGCUUUAUGUUAUCGCAUAGAUCUCUCAUAUUGCUUUCAUGUUUUUUCAUUUAGUUUUCCGUCUGUUCUCCUGAUUGAGUGAUUUCCAUUAUUCUGUCUUUCAGGUCACUGAGUUGCUCCUCUGCAUUAUUCAUUCUGCUCUUUAGUGCUUUUAACUCAGUUUGCAUCUCUGCAAAUGAAGUUUCUAAUUUUUUUGGAUCCUUCUUAUAUUUUCUAGUUCCUUUCUAAAGUAAUUUGCAUUACUGUUUAUAUCCACUCUUAAUUCCUUCACAUUCACCUUUAAUUCCUUCAGGAUUUUCACUAUCUCCCUUUUGAACUGCAGAGGUCUGUUUCCUUGUUUGUUGCUUCAGGUGAAGUCUCCUGUUCUUUUAAUUGGGAGGGGUUCCUGAGCUUCUUCAUUUCACUUAUAUUUUUCUUUUUCUGUGAGUUUAGGGACACCCACUACUGUAGUCUUGGAGGGCUAUUUCUAUGCAAGAGUGCCCCUUUGUAUUUUGUCGGGGGUUACUAUUUAUUUUUGGCAUGGGAGUUUGUGUAUUUGCUGUCUCUUCUCUCCAGUGUGAGCAGGCUGUUAUCCCCUUGAUAGGGUGCUGAGUGUGUUUCCAGGGAGAGGGAGGCAGUGGGUAGGGCCAGCAGUCAGUGCCUGGUUGCUGUGCUCUUGACCAUGGCAAGGACCUGCAGGAAGGUGGUGCAGGUGACUCCUAGUUGCAGGGCUCCGGGAAGUGGUAAUGAGCCUCAAACAGAUUUAGGCAGUGCCCGGAGCAUUUGGCAGUGGCAGCAGUAGGCUGAAUGUGUUCCCAGGGGAGUGAGAGCAACAAUGGGUGGUGCUUGGCUGGAGUGCCCUCUUUUUUGCUGACCUCUGAAGUGACUGGGUCCAUAGGUGGAGCCUGUUCACAGACCCCUAGUGGUGGCGGGGCAUGCCCGUCUCUGGUUUCUAAGAUGACUGCUGUGGUUUGUCCCAGCCACCUGUAGAUCACGCAAGAGGUGCUGUUUCGUGCUUAGGCACCUCCCACUGCCCUUAGCCCAAGAGGUGUCCGGCCACCCUGUAGACCACACAAGAGGCGCCUGGUCUCCUGGAGCCCGAGCAAGUGGUGCCUGGCCACCGUAGCCUGUGCCAGAGGCGCCCCACCCUCUGAGAGUCCAUGUGUGAGCAGGGAGAGAGAUUCCUAUGGUCCCUCUCCUCUCGCCCUCCCCAGCAAUGGCACCUUGCUUCUCCUGUGGGCCCAGACCUCCUCCCAGGUCCCCUUGGCUGUGGUGUCCCACUCCCUCACCCAUGGCACACUGCUCCCUAGCCCCGCAGGCUGUCUCCGCACAGCCAACCCUAGGCCCUCCUCGGAACUGAUUGCCAGAGCCUGAGUCUCAGUGCCCGGCCCCCGCCCAAGGGUCUCAGGCUCUGGUGUCUGGGGCAGUGGUGCAGAUGGUCUGUGUGGCUCUCACUCUGCUCUGCCUUCCUCCGUCCAGCUGCUGUGCUUUUCUCCACGACUUUGCGGUCCCUCCGUCUCAGCUGAUCUCCCCGUCGGUUAGGUGGCUUCCCGGGGUGUGGGUUCCUUUCCUCUUUAACAGCUCCCUCUCGGGAGUGCUGGUCCCAUCGUGGUUCCUGUCUUUCCUUUUGUUUGACCCAGUUGUGUGGAGGUUUUCUUGCUCCUUUUGGAGGUUUCAGUUCUUCCGCCAGCGUUGAGUAGAUGUUCUGUAUGAAUCGUUCCACACGUAGAUGUGAUUUUUGUUGUGUUUGUGGAGAAGGUGAGCACAACGUCUUACUCCUCGGCCGUCUUGAUCCUUCUCUGAUAAUUUUUUUUAACCAAAGAUGAACCUACAUUGACAUCAUAAUCACUCAAAGGCUUCAGUUUACCUCAGGAUUCACUCUUGGUGUUAUUAUUCUGUGGAUUGGGACAAAUGUAUGGUAACAGGUAUCCAUCAUUAUAAUAACAUACAGAGUAUUUUCCGUGCCCUAAAAAUUAUUUGUGUUCUGUCCAUCUCCCCCUGUGCCCACCCCUGGCAGCCACUGAUCUUUCUACUGUGUCUGUAGUUUUGCUUUUUCUAGAAUGUCAUGUAGUUGGAAUCAUGCAGUAUGUAGCCUUUUCAGACUGGUUUCUUUCACUUAAUCACAUGCACUUAGCUUUCCUUCAUGCUGUUUCAUGGCUCGAUAGCUCAUUUCUUUUCAGGACUGAAUACUAUUCCAUUGUCUGGAUGUUCCACAGUUUAUUUACCUACUGAAGGACAUUUUGAUUAUUUCCGGGUUUUGGCAAUUGUGGAUAAAGUUGCUCUAAACAUCUAUGUGCAGGUUUUUGUGUGGACAUAAGUUUUCAGCUCCUUUAGGUAAAUACCAAGGAGCACGUGGCUGGGUCAUAGAAUAAGAAUAUGUGUAGUUUUUGUAAGAAGCUGCCAAACUGUCUUCUAAAGUAGCUAUGCCAUUUUGCAUUCUCACCAACAAUGAAUGAGAGUUCCUGUUGCAGCAUUUCCUCACCAGCAUUUGGCAUUGCCAGUGUCAGAUUUUGGCCGUUCUUAUUGGUGUGUAGUGCUAUCUCAUUGUUAUUUUGAGGAGUUCCCAUCAUGGCUCAGCGUAAGUGAAUCUGACUAGCAUCCGUGAGGACACAGGUUCAGUCUCUGGCCUCGCUCAGUGGGUUAAGGAUCCAGUGUUGCUAUGAGCUGCGGUGUAGGUUGCAGACGCAGCUUGGAUCUGGCAUUGCCGUAGCUGUGGUGUAGGCCAGCGGCUCCAGCUCUGAUUGGCCCCUAGCCUGGGAAUCUCCAUAUGCCGAGGGUGUGGCCCUAAAAAGACAAAAAAAUAAAAAACAUUAAAAAAUUAUUGUGAUUUGCAUUUGCCUGAUGGUGUAUGAUAUAGAUCAUCCUUUUCUUUGCAAGCCUUAAGCUUUUAAGUAUUUUUUUUAUUCCAGCCUUGGAAUGACUUUUAUGAGAUAAGCAAAGUAGGUACUUUUAUCUCAGAUGUGCAGAUAAGAAAAUUGAGAUUUAGGGAGUUCCUGUCUUGGUACAGUGGAAAUGAAUCCUACUAGUAUCCAUGAGGAUGAGGGUUUGAUCCCUGGCUUCGCUUAGUGGUUUGGGGAUCCAGUGUUGCUGUGAACUGUGGUGUAACUUGCAAACAUGGCUUGGAUCCUGCAUUGCUGUGGCUGUGGUGUAGCCAGCAGCUGUAGCUCUAGCUCUAGCUCUAGCCUGGGAACUUCCGUAUGCCACAGGUGCAGCCCUAAAAAGGCAAAAAAAAAGAAAAAAAAA